GCUAAUACCGCAUACGCCCUACGGGGGAAAGCAGGGGAUCUUCGGACCUUGCGCUAAUAGAUGAGCCUAAGUCGGAUUAGCUAGUUGGUGGGGUAAAGGCCUACCAAGGCGACGAUCUGUAGCGGGUCUGAGAGGAUGAUCCGCCACACUGGGACUGAGACACGGCCCAGACUCCUACGGGAGGCAGCAGUGGGGAAUAUUGGACAAUGGGCGSAAGCCUGAUCCAGCCAUGCCGCGUGUGUGAAGAAGGCCUUUUGGUUGUAAAGCACUUUAAGCGA
rnacentral:rRNA from 1 species